UCUACGUAUCUGUGUAUAUUCCGAGUGUUCAACGGAAUUAAUAAUGAGUUAAAGUGAAUAUGAAAUGAAGUAUGUAUACAGGUACAUUUGAAAAGAAUGAGCAUAAGUGAUAAAGGUUAAGUGUGAAAAUGUAUAUGCAAGUGAAUUGGUAAGAUUGUGCAUGUGUAAGUGAUUGAAAUUGCUAGGAAAUGUUUUGAUUAGUUAUAUGUUAAAAGUGUUAAUUAUUAAAUGAGUAAUUAUUGUUUACAUGUAACUUACUAAGCUAUUAGUAGCUUACAUCUUUCUUCUUUUCCUUUGUUUUAUAGUGAUUUGAACUUGGUCGAAUUGGGGAUCGUCGGAGCUCGUAUCACACUAUCAUAAUCAUCUCGGUAUUAUAUGCUUUUCAAAAUGUUUAAACUAUGGCAUGUAUAGAGUCUUAAUCAUUUUGAGUAUGUUCAUCUGAUAUGGCUAAGAUUAGCUAUUGAAAUUGUAACACCCCUUACCCGAGACCGUUUCCGGAGUCGAGCACGAGGCAUUACUUAGCUUAUGUUACCAAUUCGGAGCAUAAAAACUAGGUUUGAAAAUUUAUUUCUUUAUUCGCAGCAAAUCUGUCUAAUCGCGCAGCAAUUACUAAAUUAAUUAUAACUUAGCUACAGAACUCGAAAUUUAAUCCCGUAAAUUUUCCCUGAAACUAGACUCAUAUAUCUACUCACCAUAAAAUUUUUAGAAUUUUUGGUUCAGCAAAUUAGUACAGUUUAUUAGUUAAAGUCUCCCUUGUGUCACCACCAGACUGCCCUGACCUCUAGUCACUAAAAAUAAGUUUUCUCACUAUAGGAUUUUCAUAUGAAGUUCUUACUUGUUUCUAUAGAAAAUAGACUCAUUAAGGAAUCUAAGCAUAUAAAUUUCAACUCAUAACCAUUUUUUUACAAUUUGUAAUUAUUUUCUAAACUCAGAACAGGGGACUCCAAAAACAGUUCUGACCCUAUCUUACUAAAAUUCACAUAUCUUAAAAUAUAAAUUUCUUUUUUUCUACACCGUUAUUUUUCCAUGAAAAUAGACUCAACAAGCUUUAAUUCCAUAUAUCAUUCACCCUCUAAUUCAUUUUAUACUAUCUUGGGUGAUUUUUUAAAUUCACGUCACUGUGCUGCCUGAAUUCCGUUUCUUUGCAAAAUUUUAUCCUUUCAUGAUUUCCAUGCAUAAUUUAUCACUUAAUUUUUCAUAACAACAAACACCUUCAUCCUUAAUCAUUUUAAUAACCAUACAUCAUCAAAUACUUACACAUCACUCAUUAGCAAAAUCAUCACUACAAACAUACAAAAUAACUAAAUCCCUAUACAUGCCAUAACUUAAACGUGUUUCGAUAUAAAAUACCGAGCAGUUGUAGUUGAUAGUGUGGACGAUCUCCGACUUCUUUAGGAUCCUUGAAGUAGCUUUGCAAUACUCGGUACCAAUUAUAGCCAAAUUCACCAACUUAGUCUUCAACUUUAUUCUUCCCUUUGUCUAACCUCGAGUUUCGUACUUCUUGAUCUAAAAUAGUAAAUUUAACUUAUUUAAUAGUCACAUUCAUCAAAAUAGCCCUCGACUCUAACUUUUUCAAAAUUACAAUUUUGCCCCUAAACUUUUACAUAAUUAUAUUUUUGCCCCAAGGCUCGGAAAUUAAACUUCAUCUCUUAUUCUUAUGUUUUAUAACAUUCUGAAUAUUUUUCCCUUCUAUGGCAACAUCAAAUUCUAAUUUAAUCCCUUAUCAAUACUAAUUUUAUUUUUGCAUUCUAACUCUAUAUUCUCUCUUAAUUCUUACUAUAAACUCAGUUUAAUUCUUCAAUUUCCCCAUAAAUCCCUAAUUUCGGGAUUCUUUCAAUUUAAUUCCUAUCAAUUCAAAACUUAUGUUUUAUUUUACAAAUCAAUCCUUUAUUCAAUUCCAAUCAAAAUUUCUAUCAAAUACAUCCCUAAUUUAACAAUUUAUUCAACAUGAACCAUGCUUAAUAAUCUACUAACUUCCAAAAUUUCAACUUAAAUCAAGUAGUAUUUUGUUCUAGGAUUUCAAAAAAAAUAUCAAAAUUAAGAGAAAAGGGGAUUAAAUUGACUUACCAAAUUACUUUGAACAUUAAAACCCCAAAUUUCCCUUUUUCUUUUCUUUUCUUUCUUUCUUUCCUUCCUUCCUUCUCUGUUUCGUUUUGCUCUCUGUUUCUUUCUUUCUCCCUUCUCUGUUUUGUUUUGUUUUGCUCUCUGUUUCUUUUCUUUCUUUCUUUGUCAUAUAUAUAUAAUAAUAUAAUAAUAUAAUAUAAUAUAAUA
rnacentral:lncRNA from 1 species